ACAUACUGAAGUUGUAGAUAUGUCCCUGGAAAUGUCCACUCCAGGAGAUUUGGAGGGCUCCAGCUGAGCUGGGACAUGUGUGACACAAGUUAAUGUGAUGAAUUGCUGGUGAGGCUGUGCAUGCAGCAAUACUCUGCUUGAUUAGAGCAGGUCUAAGCAGGGACUCCUUGCUGUACCUUCUCUGACUGAUCUUUCUUUAGACUGCCGAAAAUCAGAAGAAAAAACACUUACAAACAGCUCCUUCAUACUAGGUACGGCAGUUGGGUUUUUAAGAAAAAUAGCGAUUCAAUGUGGACUGCAGAAUAGGAAGAAGGAUGUGUGCCAUAAUCGUGCGGCAAAAAACGUAUCUAUAUAUAGACACUGAAGUUUAAAGUUGCCACAUCCUAUAAGGAAAGGAGAAGGGGAUCAAACUGGAAAGACAUGGACAUUCACAUAAGGACAUGGACAAAGGCAAAUCUAUAAGUGCACUUUUCUGAGUACAUUGCACCCAGAGACCUGAUAAGGAUGCUUACCACAAACUUUUGAGAGCUUUGUGCACUGUACAACUGAUACCUUGUGUCUGUAUUGAAUGAUUUUCACUGCUUUAUUUCUUCUUUCCAAAAAAAAAGAAAAAGAAAAAAUGAUGAAAUGAAUAAAAAAAUAAAAAAUAAAUGAGUAUGAA